rnacentral:pre_miRNA from 1 species
AAUAAGAUCGUUUUUUAGUUUUUAUAUAAUGUUUUGACUCUUCGUCUUAUUUAAAAUUCUUUUGCGAUUAAUAUUUUUGGUUUUACUAGAUGAUAAAACAUAAAUAGUACUUUAUACGUGACUAAUUUUUUUAAGUUUUUAUACAAAUUUUUCAAACAAGACGAAUGGUCAAACGUUGGACAUGAAAAAAC